UAGCGGGUGUAAUGAUGGAAAAAACUUACUAUUUAUGAUAACGUAAAGAAAUGAGAGGGAUAUCCCAAAAUAGUAACUAUAAAGAAAUGAGAGGGAUAUCCCAAAAUAGUAACUAUAAAGAAAUGAGAGGGAGCGAGGGAGUAUAUUUUACGAGGAUUUUAGUUAAUCUUCACCCAAUUAACUGCACAUAGUUGAAAAAAUUGAAUACAUGACAUGCAGUCACGAUAAGUAACUGCAAUUGUGCCAAUGUCCUGAUACGGCAUUGUUUAGACUUUAGCAGCAGCAGAGCAGCAGCUUGCAGCUUUCUCCUUAUUCAUUCCUCCUCUUACCUAGAAACAAACAACUUGUAUUUAUACGCAAAUAUUACCUUCAUUUAUCAACUACAUAUUCUUCUACAUAUUAACUACAUCUUCUGUUUUCUUUGGUUUCUUUUCUUGACCAAGUUGAGCACUGCAAACACUCCUCUAUGGAGUGGUCUCCCCCGGAUGCUAUGACAGCUUUCUUCAGAACAUCAGACUUGUGUAAAAUCCACAGACAAGCUGGUAGGCAAGGGAGCACAAGGCAAGUUUUCGAACCGGAGUGCAUGGAGUUCGUAUCAGCCUUAGCAGCAGGAAGGCAAGCAAAACUCAUAGUAGAAAUCACCACACAAGGCAUCACACCACUCACACUCGCACUCGCGGUGGCCGCAACACAAACUGGAGGCCAUCUCAUCUGCAUAGUCCCUCACAAGACGACCAAAAAUAUAAUCUCUAAUCAGCUUAAACAACAUUUCGAACUGGACAAGGUGGCGAGGAUCGUGAUCGGAGAUCCAUGCCAAGUGAUCAAGCACUACAAGAGCAUCGACUUUGCUGUUAUAGAUGGUAAAUAUGAAGAUCAUUUGAGAUUGUUCAAGAUUAUAAUAGACAUGAAGCAGAAAGGGUCAGUUGUGGUAGUUAAUAGUAAAGUGUGUAGAAAAUCAUUUGGAGAAGUUGUUAAGGGAAAGAGAGGAUCCGUUGAAUCGGUGGUGAGUUUCCCGUUUGGUCAAGGCAUGGAGCUGACAAGGAUGGGAUCGUCUAAUUCUUGUAGAUCUGGAAAAUCAAGAAGGUUUUAUACAGUAGAGGAAUUAAUUAGGCAGCAAAAAAUUUACUUGCUGUGUCAAUUUGUGCCGAUAAUGUAAAUGCGAAUAAAAAUAUAUUGAGGGGAUUAAGAAUCAGUUUUGUGUUUAUGA